rnacentral:rRNA from 1 species
AUUGAACGCUGGCGGCAGGCCUAACACAUGCAAGUCGAGCGGAUGAAGGGAGCUUGCUCCUGGAUUCAGCGGCGGACGGGUGAGUAAUGCCUAGGAAUCUGCCUGGUAGUGGGGGAUAACGUCCGGAAACGGGCGCUAAUACCGCAUACGUCCUGAGGGAGAAAGUGGGGGAUCUUCGGACCUCACGCUAUCAGAUGAGCCUAGGUCGGAUUAGCUAGUUGGUGGGGUAAAGGCCUACCAAGGCGACGAUCCGUAACUGGUCUGAGAGGAUGAUCAGUCACACUGGAACUGAGACACGGUCCUGACUCCUACGGGAGGCAGCAGUGGGGAAUAUUGGACAAAGGGCGAAAGCCUGAUCCAGCCAUGCCGCGUGUGUGAAGAAGGCCUUCGGAUUGUAAAGCACUUUAAGUUGGGAGGAAGGGCAGUAAGUUAAUACCUUGCUGUUUUGACGUUACCAACAGAAUAAGCACCGGCUAACUUCGUG